UAAUAUUGUCCUUAAAACGUUCAAUUGAAAUACUGUAGAAUUCCAUCCAUUCCUUCUGGGGAGUGCCAAUGGCUUCAAAGCCUCUCAUUGGCCAAUACAUAGAAAAUGCAAUCGUUGGGCCAUAUACAUCAAUGGGGAUGAAAGUAUUUGUGGUUAGCAAAUUAAUAGUGUUAUUAUUUGACAUUUUCAGGAUGGGAAAAACUACUUCAGUGGCAACAUAAACGACUAAAACCAAAUAGAAAGUAUGUAGAAAAUAUAUGUAAACAGUCAGGCCCCCAUUGUUUUUGUUAUAAUGUUUCAUCAUAAGAACACAGCAUUAGUCAUGUCAACAUGUAGAAUUGUCUGAAAUUUGCUUAAAAACUGAAAAAUUCCCCUCGCGUUUGAUGACUGCGAAAUGCGCGUCCCCGACAGCGGAAGCUGCAGACAGAGCCCGUCCGGCUGUGGUUUGGUAAACCGGUGAAAAAAGAUAACCGUGGUGGAGCGGAAAAAUUGCUUUUACAUGGAAUAAAACAGCUAUAUAUCCCUCUAUCUGCCGACCUCUCUUUGUGACUAGAACUGCCUGAACAGCGAGAGUGUGUGUGUUUCGGACCAGGGUGACUGUGUGUGAAGAAUACACUCUGUGUUUGCGAGGCCCUAUAGGUGACUCCUCCAGACCCCAGAGUGAGGAUUGUGUGUGACAAUGGGGGACAUCAGUGAUCUGGACAGACGGAUAGAACAACUUAAGCGUUGUGAACUCAUCAAGGAAAAUGAAGUCAAAGCACCGUGUGCCAAGGCCAGAAUCUUCCUGUAACACAGAGGGUGGAUUCUCCAGUUACUGCCGACUCAGAUUAAGUCUGAGGCCGGUAACAUCAACAGUGAGGACAAACCCAGCCUGCCACUCUCCUUCCACACUGAGUAGAAACCUACAGUCACUGGGUCCUGAUUGUGACAGUGGAGCCCAGUUUGCACCGUAGGAUCCAGAGAUGGCAUCAGUGAAGCUGGAAGACUGCAGUCAAACACUGGAGCUGAAUGUCAACAUUAAAGAUGAAGAAGAGGAGGAGAACAAUAGGACAACUGUUAGUCAUGACCGACUCAGAUUAAGUCUGAGGCCGUUAACAUCAACAGUGAGGACAAACCCAGCCUGCCUCUCUCCUUCCACACUGAGUAGAAACCUACAGUCACUGGGUCCUGAUUGUGACAGUGGAGACCAUUUUGCUCUGCAGGAUCCAGAGAUGGCAUCAGUGAAGCUGGAAGACUGCAGUCAAACACUGGAGCUGAAUGUCAACAUUAAAGAUGAAGAAGAGGAGGAGAACAUUAGGACAACUGUUAGUCAUGCACAUUCUGCCUCAUGGUGCUGUUGAGUUUGGGACGAUUCAGCAAAACAUCCUAAAAUCUCGUAAGAAAGUAGGUGUUAUUUUUGUUGUAAAAGUAAUGUUAUGCUAUAAUAUUUGGUGAUGUGGACUGCUAAUUAAUCAUUAGGUGAUCAUCCAAGACAUUGAUCUAACUUUACUAAAAAACACCAUUGUGGCGGCUCAUAGCUCUUGCAGCACUACACACCUGCAGUCUGCUGCACCGAACUAGCGAUUGAUGCUCACCUAGCCUUCUCUUUUGUCUCACAACAUUUGGUGAUGAAGAAACGAGAGCACAUGUUGUUUUCAUGACAAUCUGGUAAUAUUUGGCCAAGGAAACAUUUCUGGUUGGUCUCAAGGAAUGUCACACAGGGAGACUUUUUAAAACGGGAUUGAGAGAAGUAGCAGCUAAUGCUCAUGGAGAGCCUAACUAUUAUUAUUAUUAACCUUUUUUUAACUAGGCAACGAUGGGAGAAGUGUUGAAUAUAACCAGUGGACUGUCACAUCCUGAUGAUUUAUAUCUGAUACAUAUAUAUUUAAUAUUUUAUAGAUCAAGUUGUCAAAACAUCUCAAUGAUGAUCAAUGGAAACAGGAUGCACCUGAUCUCAAUUCAAAAGUUUGGGGUCAGUUAAUCUACCCAUGGUGUCCGAUUUAAAAAGUGAUUUACAGCGAAAACACAACAUAUGAUUAUGUUAGGUCAUAGCCAAGUCAAAAAAACACAACCAUUUUUCCGUUACAGUCUGUAGAAACAAGUCAAAUGAUGAAUGCAAUCAAUCUUUAGGAUGUUUUUAACAUAAAUCAUCAAUAAGUUUCCAACCAGAGAAUUUCAUUGUCUGAAGAAAAGCAUUGUAACGAGAGCUAACUCUGUCGGGAGCAAGUGUCAUGAGACCGAGGCUCUCUGCCAGACCACUUUCUCAAAGAGCUCUCAUGAGCCCCUACUUUAUAGUAGAAUCCUCAAACCAGUUUCUAAAGACGGUGACAUCUAGUGGAAGCCCUAGGAAGUGCAACCUCAUCCAUAUCUCACUGUGAAUUCAAUAGGCACUGUUGAAAAUCUAUUUCUCACUUCCUGUUUGGAUUUCUUCUCUGGAUUUUACCUGCCAUAUGAGUUCUGUUAUACUCACAGACAUCAUUCAAACAGUUUUAGAAACUUCAGAGUGUUUUCUAUCCAAUACUAAUAAGCAUAUAUUAGCAUCUGGGGUGUUGAGUUUGGGACAGUUUUGAACUGUGCUAACAUAAUUGCAAAAGUGUUUUCUAAUGAUCAACUUGGAUUAGCUAACACAACAUGCCAUUGGAUCACAGGAGUGAUGGUUGCUGAUAAUGGGCCUCUGUACACCUAUGUAGAUAUUCCAUAAAAUAUCUGCCGUUUCCAGCUACAAUAGUCAUUUACAACAAUAACAAUGUCUACACUGUAUUUCUGAUCAAUUUUAUGUUAUUUUAAUAGACAAAGAAUGCGCUUUUCAUUCAAAACAAGGACAUUUCUAAGUGACCCCAAACUUUUGAACAGUAGUGUAUAUUUCAUAUGUUUCAUAAAUAAAGUUGUAGAAACAUCUCAAGGAUGAUCAAUGGAAACAGGAAGCAUCUGAACUCAAUUUUGAGUCUGUCUUGUUCUUCUGUUUUUUUAAUACAUUUGCAAAAAUCUCUAAACCUGUUUUAGCUUUGUCAUUAUGAGGGUGUGUAGAUUGCUGAGGAUAUUUUUUUAUUUAAUUUUAGAAUAAGGCUGUAACAUAACAAAAUGUGGAAAAAGUCAAGGGGUCUGAAUGCUUUCCGAGGGCACUGUCAGACCCCUUCCCAUUUCUCCCAUUUUGGUACGUUACAGCCUUCUUCUAAAAUUGAUGACAUGUUUUUCCUCGUCAAUCCACACACAAUACCCCAUAAUGACAUCACAAUACCCCAUAAUAACAUCACAAUAUCCCAUAAUAACAAAGCCAAAACAGGUUUUUAGAAAUUCUUGCAGAUGUAAAAAAAAAGAUAUAUGUUUUGCUUAUUUAUGUUUUUUAAGUUUUCAGACCCUUUGCUUUGAGAUUAUCCUUGAGAUGUUUCUACAACUUGAUUGGAGUCCACCUGUGGUAAAUUCAAUUGAUAGGACAUGAUUUGCACAGGAACUCACCUGUCUAUGUCAGGUCCCACAGUUGACAGUGCAUGUCAGAGUAAAAACCAAGUCAUGAGGUGGAAGGAUUUGUCCGUCGAGCUCCAUGACAGGAUUGUGUCGGCACAGAUCUGGAGACCAGUACCAAAACAUUUCUGCAGCAUUAAAGGUCCCAAGAACACAGAGGCCUCCAUUAU